GUGCUCUUGCCGUAAUCGCACCACACACAAAAUACACGACACAGACACAACGAGUUCUAGUCAAGGAAUUGGAAGAAGGAAGGAGCAAAUUCAGGUACUGAUGUCCUGUUCCUUUCAGUUUUUUUCUUUAUCGUAGGUGAUGAGCAUGCAGUAACGACAGUAGCCUAUUAAUCAAGUCUAGUCACUUUUCGGCCUCGUUUAGUUGCCCGUGUAAAGUUGUAAAAAUGGAAUAUUUGCACAUUUGAAAUAUUAAAUAUAGACUAAUCACAAAACUAAUUACAAAACUCGUCUGUAAACUACGAGACGAAUCUAAUGAGCCUAAUUAAUCCAUCAUUAGAGCAUGUGUAUUGUAGCAAUUACUGUAGCAAUUUAGUGUCUAAUCAUAGCUUAAUUAGGCUUAUUAGAUUCGUCUCGCAAUGUAAGCAAACUAUGCAAUUCAUUUUUUAUUUCAUCUUGAUUUAGUACUCCAUGCUUGUAAGAUUCUCUUUUGAUGUGAUAGAUUUGUGAUUUUGAAUUUCGUAACUAAACAAAGCCUUCAUCUAACUCAUGCAUGCAUGGCGCACAAAUGAAACUCUCACCUAUUCUUGCUAAUUGAUGAUGUUCCUAGUAACUUGCAGCUAUUGGUUUUACCAGGAUCUACAAAAGAAGCUUUGAUAACAGGAGGAAUACUCAUUAAUCAAGGCAAGACUGUGUAUAUCUAUUAACCUGCUCUAAAUUAAUUAGCAAUGUGAUAAGCUGAUCUAGGCAGAAUAUGCCGUGAGCUACUAUAUGAUUUGAAGACAGUUGAAUUAUAUUAAUUAAUUGCAGUAACAUCGUCAUUAUCUGGGUAAGUAUUGGUAUGCUCAGCCUGAGACGACCAAAACCUGAAAUAAUGAUGCACAGACUGGCUGUGGUCAGUGUGAGUAGGAACAACUCAUACAAGUAGGGUCUUUGGUGACGUGAUUCUCAGAUGAAGGGCAGUACCCUAUAUAAAAUAUUAAUGGAGAAAGAUUAUGACGGUACAUGUGAUAUAUCUCUGCAGAGUAUAUUGUUUUAAUUAGCUGACUAACUUUUAAUUAUGCCUUAAUUCCUUAUUAUUCUUGCAGAGUGUGUGUAAACAUACUCAUAUUAGCUCUUCCUUUUGAUAUGCGCAGAAGGGGAGAAGAAUAGUCUUGAUUUGAUUGGGAGAGGUGAUAUCGAUGACGACAUGCAUGCAUAGUGUUAGUACUUCAGACAACAACUAGACAACCACUGCUGUUGUAUCUCCAUGAAUAAAAGCAAACAAGAACUAGAGUAGACUUGCCGAGGGAUGGGAGUAUAGGAAAGGAUGUUGUUUGUGUACUAUACAACGGGAAGUAAAGCUGUAAUAUACUGGUACUGGCAACUCUGAUAUGAAUAAAGCUUGGCUAGCUGUUUAUGAUGUACACUCAUGCCUUCUAUGUGUAUGAAAUUUCAUUCAUGCACAUGCGGCGCUGUCACAUAAUUUGGGGCGUGACAAGCUGUGUGAGAGGCUGCGCUGGAGGAGUCAAAACGAGCUCGUGCUACUGGGAAGGUGGUGAUUAAUGAAGGUGCGAAGGUCACCGACAUUGCUGGGAGCUCUGGCGGCUCGACAACUGUUGAUCCGAGGGUCUAGGAUUGGCUUGAGAAGGAACUUAGUAUUUUUGGUUUUUGGAUGUUUUUUAGAUGAAAAUGAUGUAAAUAUUCCCACCUUUGGCUAAGCGAUUGUGCCAGCUCAAGUACUCAUUGUUUCCCCCCUACGGGUCCGGCGCGAAGGUGUUUCUGCACCGUGGUCGGAGUGGGAGCGGUUCAGUUUUGCUCAUUUGGGAGCAAGUGUUGCUGAAUUUUUGCAUGCUAGCGGUGCUAGGAGUAUCUAGGGGUUUGGACAAAAGUAUGUGAUGAACAAGUUAUCUUGUGUAUAUAUUUGUUGCGAUGCAUGAGAAAUGAUUCGAUGUUGUUUGCAC